CAAGUCGAACGGUCCGCUUCGGCGGAUAGUGGCGCACGGGUGCGUAACACGUAUGCAACCUACCUUACAUUGGGGGAUAGCCUUUCGAAAGGGAGAUUAAUACCGCAUAAGACAGUAGCUGGGCAUCCAGUAGCUGUUAAAGAUUUAUCGAUGUAAGCUGGGCAUGCGUCCAAUUAGUUAGUUGGUGAGGUAACGGCUCACCAAGACGAUGAUUGGUAGGGGAACUGAGAGGUCAAUCCCCUACACUGGCACUGAGAUACGGGCCAGACUCCUACGGGAGGCAGCAGUAGGGAAUAUUGGGCAAUGGACGCAAGUCUGACCCAGCCAUGCCGCGUGCAGGAAGAAGGCGUUCUGCGUUGUAAACUGCUUUUAUAUAGGAAGAAACGACCCUUGCGAGGGGCAUUGACGGUAUUAUAUGAAUAAGCACCGGCUAACUCCGUGCCAGCAGCCGCGGUAAUACGGAGGGUGCAAGCGUUGUCCGGAUUUAUUGGGUUUAAAGGGUGCGCAGGUGGUUUAUUAAGUCAGUGGUGAAAGACGGUCGCUCAACGAUUGCAGUGCCAUUGAUACUGAUAGACUUGAGUAAAGUAGAGGUGGGCGGAAUUGAUAGUGUAGCGGUGAAAUGCAUAGAUAUUAUCAAGAACUCCGAUUGCGAAGGCAGCUCACUUGGCUUUUACUGACACUCAUGCACGAAAGUGUGGGUAUCAAACAGGAUUAGAUACCCUGGUAGUCCACACUGUAAACGAUGAUAACUAGGUGUUGGCCGAAUCUGGUCAGUGCCACAGCGAAAGCGUUAAGUUAUCCACCUGGGGAGUACGCCGGCAACGGUGAAACUCAAAGGAAUUGACGGG
rnacentral:rRNA from 1 species